AGGCCAAAUCAACAGCAGCCCUAAGAACAAGCAUUCUCUCUUUUUUUUUUUUUUUUCAACAGAACUAGGCCACACACAUUUUUUGUCGUUAUUUAGAUUUUUUACUUGAAGUACAUAGAAAAUAAAACUCAUUUUUAAAAUUAUUUCAGUAGCCAAUGCAUCUUGAUGACUUUUAUAUAUGUUUUAUUUUUUAUUACUUUUGAAGAAAAGUCUGUAGAAACUUACUUUUCAAGGCAUCUAAUGCAACCAUUGUCUUGGAUGGCGGCAAUCCAUUUCAGGCACAGCAUCACCGCCGCCCGCGGGGAGGAGGACGCCGGCUCUGGCCGCCCGCAGCCUUCGAGAGAAGGUGCCUGAAAAGCGCGGCGUCGGCGUGGGUCCCGCGCAGGCCUGCUCCGCGAGCGCGCACUCCAAGUGCGAGGAAACCCGCGGUUUCUUCAGAUACAGUUAAACUGUUAGCUCUCUCUAGGAGUUACAGAAGAUGGAACAGUCUCAUGCCAGGAAAGUGAAAUCCCUGGAGGAGAAGCCCCUCCACCCAUGUAACGGUUAAUACUGUAUGCUGUGAUUCACUAUGUCUGUUUGCCAUUAUCUAGUAUUUACCAAGCCAGCAACUCAGUGGAGCUCCAACUCAACCAAUGAAUUGCCUGUUACAACGUGUGGGGGUACCAACUUGCGACUGCAAUUUUUUUUCAUGAGUCUAGUUACUAGGCAGUGUAGUUAGCUGAUUGCUAAUAGUACCAAUCACUAACCACACGGCCAGGUAAAAAGAUUUGGGAAUUCAUCCAAAUGAGCUGCCUGUACAUCAUCCAUGUGCUUGGGGAAGAAGGAUGUUGGAGAAUGCUGAUUUCAUCCAUUAUCAAUUGCUCAGCCAAGAGGGGAAAAAAAAAACACAACAUUUUAGCUACUAAGUAUACGAUGUAUGUAAUGUGUAUGUAUGUGAGUUGUUUCUGUUUUUUGUCAAUAUUCCUUCAGGCUCUUAACCAAAAUUUUAGACAUAACGGGGAAUAGGAUUUUUUUCUUAGUUGAUUGAUGUAAUUAUAUGAACAUGUGAUUAUUAACUGAGACUAUAUUGUUAUAUUUUUGAGACUAUUUUGAAAGAAUAAAAUACCGUAAAGACA